rnacentral:rRNA from 1 species
AUAAAUAAGCGGAGGAAAAGAAACUAACGAGGAUUCCCCUAGUAACGGCGAGUGAACGGGGAAAAGCCCAGCGCCGAAGCCCUCGUCCCGUGGGACGAUGGGCGUUGUGGCGUUAGGGAGGAACCUCUCCCGGCAGUUUGCGGAAGCCCAAGUCCCCCUGACCGGGGCCACAGCCCGUGGUGGGUGCAAGGCCCGUGUGGCUCUUUCUGCGUCUGCCGGACGGUUCUCUCCCCGGAGUCGGGUUGCUUGGGAGUGCAGCCCUAAGCGGGUGGUAAACUCCACCGAAGGCUAAAUACCUCCACGAGACCGAUAGCAAACAAGUACCGUGAGGGAAAGUUGCAAAGAACUUUGAAGAGAGAGUUCAAGAGUACGUGAAACCGCUCGGAGGCAAACGGGUGGGCCCUCGAAGGUCGAACGGGGGGAUUCAACCCGUCCGCAGGCAUGGUUGCGCGUCACGGAUGGCGAGGCAUCGGGGGUUUUCUCCCCGUGUCUUGCCUUACAGAUCCGAACGUCGGACUGGUCCGUGGCACCAAAGUUAUAUCUUUGCGGCGACCGCGGGCGGGCGCACUUCCCCCUCAGUAGGACGCCGCGACCGGUCGGGUAUCGAAAGAAAAAGCGGCUUUGCAGCGGGACGACGGCAGGUAUCCGUCGCCGGUCACCUUUCUCUCGUCCUUUGUGGCGGGGGAAAAGCCGGUCGGAAUUACAGCUGGUCUCCGCUUCGGUUGCUGCCCGACCGAGGAACUACGUGCCCGCGCUGUCAUGUGACUUCGGUUGCGUGAGACGCGCGGUUCGCCCACCUGGCAGGCUGGGCCACCGGGUACCGGACGCCCCUAGUUUGGCGGUCGGCUAUCUCGUUGUGGCUCGCUGGUGGUCGGGCGUAGCUGCUCUCGUGGUGGCGCUCGUGGUCAGCGGCGAGUAGGUCGGUCGCCCACCCGACCCGUCUUGAAACACGGACCAAGGAGUCUAACAUGUGCGCGAGUCGCAGGGUUGACUCGCAAGUUGAAACCCGAUGGCGAAAUGAAAGUGAAAGUCGGUGCGUCUGACCGACUGAGGCGGGAUCCGUCCGGGUAUCGCUGCAGCUCUCGAGGGGGCUGCGGGAGCCCGGCGGCGCACCGCCGGCCCGUCUCGACCGCUUCCUGUCGGCGAGGCGGAGCAAGAGCGCACACGUUGGGACCCGAAAGAUGGUGAACUAUGCUCGGGCAGGACGAAGCCAGAGGAAACUCUGGUGGAGGUCCGUAGCGAUUCUGACGUGCAAAUCGAUCGUCGGACCUGAGUAUAGGGGCGAAAGACUAAUCGAACCGUCUAGUAGCUGGUUCCCUCCGAAGUUUCCCUCAGGAUAGCUGGUGCUCGGUAAGGAACGCAGUCUCAUCCGGUAAAGCGAAUGAUUAGAGGCCUUGGGGCCGAAUCGACCUCAACCUAUUCUCAAACUUUCAAUGGGUGAGAAGUCCGGCUUGCCUGACUGAAGCCCGGACCAAAUCUGAUCCGACAGGGUGUCGAACUGACAGUUGCCGUUGAAUUUAUUCUUUGGCAAUCUGGCUGCGGCCCUGCUCGGUACGGAUGCGAGUGCCCAGUGGGCCAAUUUUGGUAAGCAGAACUGGCGCUGUGGGAUGAACCAAACGCCGGGUUACGGCGCCCGAUGCGGACGCUCAUCAGACCCCAUGAAAGGUGUUGGUUGCUAUAGACAGCAGGACGGUGGCCAUGGAAGUCGGAAUCCGCUAAGGAGUGUGUAACAACUCACCUGCCGAAGCAACUAGCCCUGAAAAUGGAUGGCGCUCCAGCGUCGAGCCGAUACCCGGCCGCCGGGGCAGAGACUUUGUGGCGAUCCUACAAAAGAAAUGCCCCGGUGAGUAGGAGGGUCGCGGCGGUGUGCGUCGAAGGUGUCGGGCGUAGGCCCGCCUGGAGCCACCGCCGGUGCAGAUCUUGGUGGUAGUAGCAAAUACUCGAGUGAGAACCUUGAGGACUGAAGUGGAGAAGGGUUCCAUGUGAACAGCAGUUGAACAUGGGUCAGUCGGCCCUAAGGAAUAGGGGAAACCCGUUCCGAAGCGGGGUGUUCGUGCAACACGACCCCGGCUGACCGAAAGGGAAUCGGGUUAAUAUUCCCGAACCCGGAUGCGGAAGUCGGACCCUUCGGGGUCCAAUGCGGUAACGCAAACGAACUCGGAGACGUCGGCGGGAGUCCCGGGAAGAGUUGUCUUUUCUUUGUAAGGGACGGACUCCCUGGAAUCGGUUCGACCGGAGAGAGGGAUGUUGUUCCCGUAAAGCACCGCGGCUCUUGCGGUGUCCGGAGCGCUCCCGCCGGCCCUUGAAAAUCCGAGGGAGAGAAUUUGAUUUUCGCACCGGACCGUACCCAUAUCCGCAGCAGGUCUCCAAGGUGAACAGCCUCUAGUCGAUAGAACAAUGUAGGUAAGGGAAGUCGGCAAGCCAGAUCCGU